rnacentral:rRNA from 1 species
CAGUAGCCACGGUAAUACGGAGGGGGCUAGCGUUGUUCUGAAUUACUGGGCGUAAAGCGCACGUAGGCGGCUUGGUAAGUUAGAGGUGAAAGCCUGGAGCUCAACUCCAGAAUUGCCUUUAAGACUGCCGAGCUAGCAGGUGAGAGAGGUAAGUGGAAUUCCGAGUGUAGAGGUGAAAUUCGUAGAUAUUCGGAAGAACACCAGUGGCGAAGGCGGCUUACUGGCUCAUACUGGACGCUGAGAUGCGAAAGCGUGGGGAGCAAACAGGAUUAGAUACCCCCGUAGUCCCUGUCUCUUAUAC